rnacentral:lncRNA from 1 species
ACUACGGGCGCCACUUGUUGUGUCGGUCUUUUUGCUUUCUCUAGUAACUUGUCCAUGCAAGUUAUAGGAGAUUGGCAUACAUGGCUAUUUGUAGUUUCAGCAUUGCUUCUGCUACAUAAGGGAGCUAGCUAUUUAUAGAUAAGGUGUACAUUCAAACCUAAUUGGUUCACCAAACUUCACUUGCAGGCCUUUUAUUUUCUUCAUUCGAGAGUAGCCGUCGUUGUCGAGGACUUAAUAUUUGCAAGGCUGUGGUUGGAGAAUGCUGGUACGACACCUGCUCCAUUCGGUAGCCGUGCCACACGAUGCAGUCGCACCGGCUAUGAAUAAUACAUAUUAAUUCAGUAAGGUCUGGCUCAAAUUCCUUAGAAAACAAGUUGAUCGAUUAGUCGUAGAAUAAUGGACGUGAGUUGGUGUGUUAUAAAUACGUAUACUGGGUAACAUUGGGGAACAAUUCAGAC